CCUACGGUGGGCAGCAGUGGGGAAUAUUGGACAAUGGGCGAAAGCCUGAUCCAGCCAUGCCGCGUGUGUGAAGAAGGCCUUCGGGUUGUAAAGCACUUUCAGUGGGGAAGAAAGCCUUGGGGCUAAUACCCUCGAGGAAGGACAUCACCCACAGAAGAAGCACCGGCUAACUCCGUGCCAGCAGCCGCGGUAAUACGGUGGGUGCGAGCGUUAAUCGGAAUUACUGGGCGUAAAGCGCGCGUAGGCGGUCUGAUAAGCCGGUUGUGAAAGCCCCGGGCUCAACCUGGGAACGGCAUCCGGAACUGUCAGGCUAGAGUGCAGGAGAGGAAGGUAGAAUUCCCGGUGUAGCGGUGAAAUGCGUAGAGAUCGGGAGGAAUACCAGUGGCGAAGGCGGCCUUCUGGACUGACACUGACGCUGAGGUGCGAAAGCGUGGGUAGCAAACAGGAUUAGAUACCCCUGUAGUC
rnacentral:rRNA from 1 species